rnacentral:misc_RNA from 1 species
GAUGAAGAACGCAGCGAAAUGCGAUAAGUAAUGUGAAUUGCAGAAUUCAGUGAAUCAUCGAGUCUUUGAACGCACAUUGCGCCCCCUGGUAUUCCGGGGGGCAUGCCUGUCCGAGCGUCAUUGCUGCCCUCAAGCACGGCUUGUGUGUUGGGCCCCCGCCCCCCGGCUUCGGGGGGCGGGCCCGAAAGGCAGCGGCGGCACCGCGUCCGGUCCUCGAGCGUAUGGGGCUUCGUCACCCGCUCUGUAGGCCCGGCCGGCGCCCGCCGGCGACCCCAAUCAAUCUUUCCAGGUUGACCUCGGAUCAAGUAGGGAUACCCGCUGAACUUAAGCAUAUCAAUAAGCGGAGGA